rnacentral:rRNA from 1 species
UGCGCAGUAUGGGAUGCGAAACCCAAAGGCGAAGAUAACACAACUGCAAAGUCGUUGCGGGAUUACGGGUGCACCACGGUCCGCAAGGAUCGGCCAGCUGUGCCGCCCCUCCAUCCCCGGGUGUUUAGCAAUGGAUCUGUAGUGUCGCGGACCCCCCGCCGGGGUGGACAUUUGCAGAGCCAGAGCGACAUACCGCGAGCGCGCAGGAUGUGACCCGAAAGAUGGUGAACUAUGCCUGAUCAGGUUGAAGUCAGGGGAAACCCUGAUGGAGGACCGAAGCAAUUCUGACGUGCAAAUCGAUUGUCAGAGUUGGGCAUAGGGGCGAAAGACCAAUCGAACCAUCUAGUAGCUGUU